rnacentral:rRNA from 1 species
CAGUAGCCGCGGGAAUACGGAGGAUCCGAGCGUUAUCCGGAAUUAUUGGGUUUAAAGGGUGCGUAGGCGGAUAGAUAAGUCAGUGGUGAAAGACGGUGGCUCAACCAUCGCAGUGCCGUUGAUACUGUUUAUCUUGAAUAUGGAUGAGGUAGGCGGAAUGUGGCAAGCAGCGGUGAAAUGCAUAGAUAUGCCACAGAACACCGAUUGCGAAGGCAGCUUACCAAGGCAAAAUUGACGCUGAGGCACGAAAGCGUGGGGAUCGAACAGGAUUAGAUACCCCCGUAGUCCCUGUCUCUUAUAA